rnacentral:rRNA from 1 species
CCUACGGGUGACAGCAGUGAGGAAUAUUGGUCAAUGGACGCGAGCCUGAACCAGCCAAGUCGCGUGAAGGAUGACUGCUCUAUGGGUUGUAAACUUCUUUUAUAAAGGAAUAAAGUGAGGCACGUGUGGCUUUUUGAAUGUACCUUAUGAAUAAGGAUCGGCUAACUCCGUGCCAGCAGCCGCGGUAAUACGGAGGAUCCGAGCGUUAUCCGGAUUUAUUGGGUUUAAAGGGUGCGUAGGUGGUUUGUUAAGUCAGUGGUGAAAGUUUGCGGCUCAACCAUAAAAUUGCCAUUGAUACUGGCAGACUUGAGUAUAGUUGAGGUAGGCGGAAUGCGUGGUGUAGCGGUGAAAUGCUUAGAGAUCACGCAGAACUCCGAUUGCGAAGGCAGCUUACUAAACUAUAACUGACAUUGAUGCACGAAAGUGUGGGUAUCAAACAGGAUUAGAUACCCGGGUAGUC